CCCCGAACCAGACCGCCUCCCCCCUGCAAGAGGAGAGACCCCUUCCGCCACGGCUUGAUUGCCGGUGGCUUUCCUUUCUUCCUUCCCCUGCGCAGCUGCUCACACACGCAGAUGCUGCUCUUCCUUCCGUCCCCGGACACGCAGGCAAGGCAAAGGCACCCACCACCAAAUAGGAAGGGGAGUUACUCCACCACCACCAGCAGCCUAGCCUAGCCUAGCCUAGCACAGCACAGCACAGCAGUGGGAGGGGGAGGCACCAGGGCAGGGCAGGUCCGGAGAUGGAUGGAGACUUGUUGCAGCGCAGCCCACUGCAAAGCUCCAAAUUACAACACGGAGCCCAACCACCACUUAUACGCCACCGCCACCACCACCAGCAUCGCCACCACUUUCCCCUCCCCGAUCUCCUCCCCAAACCCUAACCCCCUCCCCUCGGAUCCGCGCAUGGAGGCGUGACGGGCCGGGGGGAUGGACGCCGUGCCGGAGGACCUCCGCUGCAAGCGCUCCGACGGCAAGCAGUGGCGCUGCAGCGCCCCUUCCAUGCCCGACAAGACCGUCUGCGAGAAGCACUACGUCCAGGCCAAGAAGCGCGCCGCCUCCUCCGCGCUACGCGCUACGCUCCGCAGGUCCUCCCCCUCCUACGCCGCCGCCUCCUACGCGCCGCCCCGUGAGGGCGACGCCGACGCUGACCUGCCCCUGCCAAUGGCUGUCGCGAGGCCCUUCUACGGCAGUGUCGUCGGGGAGCCUGUCUACGUGGCGGAGCCGGCGGUGCGGAGGGGGCUGCCCCUCAUCAAUGCUAUCGGCUCGCGCACCGCAGCGGAGCUAGUUGGGAGAGCCUCUGUAGGGCUGCAAGGCUGUGCCGAGGUGAAGACGAGUUGCCACCAAUGCCGGAGGAGUGUCAGUGCCGUUUGGUGUACCAGCUGUGACAGGAGGGGGUAUUGCGGCGGCUGCAUCUCCAGAUGGUACUCUGACAUUGCAAUAGAUGAUAUUCAAAAGGUUUGUCCAGCAUGCCGUGGCAUUUGUAACUGCAAAGUUUGCUUACAAGGAGACAACGUAAUUAAGGCAAGGGUGCAGGAGAUAUCUGUUGUAGAUAAGUUGAAAUAUCUUCAUAGCAUUUUGGCAUAUGUUCUUCCAGUGCUAAAGCAGAUUUACUCCGACCAAUGCUUUGAAAUAGGUGUUGAAACAAGAGCUUAUGGGCCCAAGAUGGACAUCAUUAGGGCAAAGAUGAAUUCUGAUGAGCAAAUGUGCUGUGACUUUUGCAAAGUGCCAGUGUUUGAUUAUCAUCGACACUGUCCAAGAUGUUUGUAUGACUUAUGCCUUGACUGUUGUCGAGAUAUUAGGCGCUCUCAGACAAAUGUAGUCAGAGGAGAAUAUGCUGAAAGUAAAGGUCCUGUGGUGGAGACAAAUAAAGAUAGUGCGAGUGACAGAGCAAGAUUGGAACCAUCUGCAGCAAGUGUCAACGAUAAGUUGUUCCCAGAGCCGAUAGAUGCAAAUGAUAUUGGCAUCAGAUCUUUGUUUCCUACAUGGAGAGCCAACAAUGAUGGCAGCAUCACUUGUGGGCCUCAUGAGGCUGGUGGUUGUGGCUCCUCAAAGCUGGUAUUAAGGCGAAUAUUCAAAAUAAACUGGAUUGGUAAGCUUGUAAAGAGUUCUCAAGAAAUGGUUAAUGGUUGCAAAGCACAUGAUCUUGAGAAUGGAUGCUCAUCCUGUCACGAUAGCAGAAGAUUGGACUCAAUUGGUCGCCAUAACUUUGGUCUCUCAAAAUGUUCAGAUAGUGAUGGUAUUGAUGGGAACUCUGUGUACUCUUCUGUACUGGAGAACUUAAAAUACGAGGGUAUUGUCCAUUUCCGUAAACACUGGAUAAAUGGGGAGCCUGUAAUUAUUAGGAAUGCAUUUGAGCCUUCUUUAUCAUCAAGUUGGGACCCGUUAAGUAUUUGGCGAGGAAUCCAGGAGAUCAUGGAUGAAAAAAUGGAUGAAAAUGCGAUAGUUAAAGCUGUGGACUGCUCAAACCAAUCAGAGGUGCAUAUCAAGCUCAACCAAUUUAUCAAAGGUUAUUCAGAUGGUCACAAGGGAGAAGAUGGCAAGUUAAUUAUGCUGAAACUGAAAGAUUGGCCUCCAGUGAGCGUAUUAGAGGAGUUUCUGUUAUGCCAGCGACCAGAGUUCAUUGUCAAUUUUCCCUUAGUAGACUUUAUCCAUUCUAAGUGGGGCUUUCUUAACCUUGCGGCUAAGUUACCCCCAGAUGCCCUACAGUCUGAAGUAGGCCUAAAGCUGCUUAUUGCAUAUGGAAGGCAGCAACAACCUGGUAAAAGCGAUUCAGUGACAAAUCUGAUGGUUAAGAUGGGUGAUGUGGUACACAUGUUAAUGCAUAGAGCUGAAAUGCGUUACCUAUGUCCAAAGAGUCUACAACCUGAGCAGCCGGAAAGGAUUGCCAAUGGGAUGGCAGUGCAUGUAAAUGCUCAUGCACCUGUGCAAAACUUGAAUCUGGAUAUGGGGGAACAAUCACCUGAACACACAGUUUCUAAGUCUUGCGGCCCUUCUGCAGGCUCUUCUGCUGAGCUAUCAAGUUCAUCACAUUCAGAGCAAGCAAAAACUAAUGGUGUAGAAAGAUCUCAGCCUGGUGCUCUUUGGGAUGUCUUCCGCAGGCAGGAUGUGCCGAUGCUGAAUAAAUAUUUAGCUUCUAACUGGGAGGAACUUACAAAUAACAGUCAGGCGAUGCUCUCUGUGAAGCAUCCUAUUUAUGAUCAAGCUGUAUAUCUCAGGGAGCACCAUAAAAGGGUAUUAAAGGAUCAAUAUGAGAGCAACCAAAUGUCUGCUUGCUAGGUCUUGUUUACCAGGAAAUCCCAACCUGAUACUUCUAUCUACAUCCUUUUUGGUGUGGAAUAUGAUUUUUCGCCACUACUUGACUUUGAUGAUUUGCCACUGGUUACUUUGCAAAUGAUAUUUUGCCACUUCUUAGUUGGGACUUUGAGGAUUUGCCCUUUUACAGUCAAAAACAAUAGUAGUUACGAGUGUUUUAGAUAAUAUAUGCGCAAAACAGUGGACAACAAUACCCUUGUGCCUGUUUGACUGAAGAGGCAGAAAAAUAAGUAGAAAUCCCCAAUGUCCCAGCUCUUCCGCCUCUCGAGUUCUCUCUGCCGGCGCCAAUGAAGAUGAACUUGUAGAGGAGGUCCCAUGGUAGGUCCUGGGUGGGCGUGAACUAGCCACGGCCGGCACUGUGGAGACGAGCGAUAGGUGGCCCUCGUAGAGGAAGCCCGAGGGCCUGCACGGUGACAGCGGCGUCCCUGAACCGUGUGUAGCCAAGCGCGCCGCAGCGGCUGGGGAGCUGGAACGGCGCGGCGAAUGCUUCAGCAGCCCUGCCAGUCACCGCCGCUGCUGAUGCCCUGCCUGCCCUGUGCUGCUCUUGCUCGCCGCCGCGGCCACCUACUGGUUCUACAACAGGUACUGCUGGUUGCUGCUGCUGCACGUAGUGCUGCUGCUGCUGCUCGCACCUCUUGGCUCCACAGUGGUCAGCCGGGUAUACUCUUGUGUUCUGAACGACAGCUGAUGCAACACAUAGUCCUUUCGCUUGGAGAGCAGGAUAAAUCACUGAUGUGUAUUAGCGUCACAAAAUCCUGUGUUUGCUUCCAUGGAAGAAUCAAUCAGCUGCUUGCAUGCUUGCCAUGCUGCCAUGGAAUAAUCAAUCUAGCACUUCUUCUGUGGAUUGCUCACCGGCGACGGAUAGAGCCAGAGGCAUCAUAUCUUGGUCUGACGGGGGGACUGUGAUGCUGAGAUGUGGACCUGGCUCCUGGUCGUGUUGGCCAGCGUGACCAUGGCCGCCAACUCUGGAUCCGCUCCCCGUGGCAAGUCACAAGAGAGAUGGGGAAUGAACAAACAGGAAGAGCUUGUCUGUUGGCUUGGUCGAUCGAGGACAUGGGCAAUUUGGGGAUUUCAUGCGGGCCCCACCUGUAAGAGGCAAAUCCUCGAAGUCCCAAGUAAAAAGUGCAAAAUAUCAAUUGCAAAGUAGGCAGAGGCAAAUUGUCGAAGGCCCAAGUAAGCAGUGGCAAGAGAUCACAUCCCCCCCUUUUGGCGAAUUGUCGAAGUCCCACGAAUUGAACCUCGGACAUUUGAACAACAUAUUGGCGAGGCUGUUUUUAUUCCAGCUGGCUGUCCUUACCAAGUAAAAAAUCUCCAGUCUACGGUUCAGUUGGCUCUGGAUUUUUUGUCGCCUGAGAGUUUGCGGGAGUCGGC